UAAUCUCAUGUGGUAACUGUGA
rnacentral:miRNA from 1 species